rnacentral:snRNA from 1 species
GUUUGAAGGGGAGAUUGUUGGGU